rnacentral:ncRNA from 2 species
AGGGUUAUAAUCAUGUAGACUUAUAUAAUUCCAAGAUUGGUUGGAAGUAUCUACGAACUACCGUAAUAGUUCUCUAUAAGUUCCGGUAAAUCAUAG